UCUGACACAGGUGCUGCAUGGCUGUCGUCAGCUCGUGUCGUGAGAUGUUGGGUUAAGUCCGUAACGAGCGCAACCCUGUCCUUAGUUACCAGCACGUUAUGGUGGGCACUCUAAGGAGACUGCCGGUGACAAACCGGAGGAAGGUGGGGAUGACGUCAAGUCGUCAUGGCCCUUACGGCCUGGGCUACACACGUGCUACAAUGGUCGGUACAAAGGGUUGCCAAGCCGCGAGGUGGAGCCAAUCCCAUAAAACCGAUCGUAGUCCGGAUCGCAGUCUGCAACUCGACUGCGUGAAGUCGGAAUCGCUAGUAAUCGUGAAUCAGAAUGUCACGGUGAAUACGUUCCUGGGCCUU
rnacentral:rRNA from 1 species